GAUGAACGCUGGCGGCGUGCCUAAUACAUGCAAGUCGAGCGAACAGACGAGGAGCUUGCUCCUCUGACGUUAGCGGCGGACGGGUGAGUAACACGUGGAUAACCUACCUAUAAGACUGGGAUAACUUCGGGAAACCGGAGCUAAUACCGGAUAAUAUAUUGAACCGCAUGGUUCAAUAGUGAAAGACGGUUUUGCUGUCACUUAUAGAUGGAUCCGCGCCGCAUUAGCUAGUUGGUAAGGUAACGGCUUACCAAGGCAACGAUGCGUAGCCGACCUGAGAGGGUGAUCGGCCCCACUGGAACUGAGACACGGUCCAGACCCCUAAGGGAGGCAGCAGUAGGGAAUCUUCCGCCAUGGGGGAAAGCCUGACGGAGCAACGCCGCGUGAGUGAUGAAGGUCUUCGGAUCGUAAAACUCUGUUAUUAGGGAAGAACAAAUGUGUAAGUAACUAUGCCCGUCUUGACGGUACCUAAUCAGAAAGCCCCGGCUAACUACGUG
rnacentral:rRNA from 1 species